rnacentral:lncRNA from 1 species
UAGGGCACGGGCACCAAGGCCAGUCCGACCUCAAUUUGUGUCUCGAGUGUGCCGACAUUGGUACCACAACUUAGCCAUUUUGCGUUCUGUCAAGUUUGCCUUGCAUGUCCUAGCUUGUCAGGGACAAAAUAAUAUAUCCAUCAUGCAAUAUUAACACGUUGUGGGUGCUGCUUUGCAAUUUUGUAAUAGUAAGGGGGUGUGCAUAGAAUAAUGCGUCAGUUUUUGUAGCAACAGGGGGACAAUAGUCCCCCAAACCAGGUGUUGAUGGUACUCCAUUUGUAUAGUUUUAUCGUUGUUAAGGUUUUGGCGGUAACAAU